CGUUCAGUUUGAUUAGGUAACUACCUACGUGAAACCGCGAGGCAAGGAUGGACGGUGGUAUAAGCCAAAAUCCCGAUGGAUCAGGAAAAGCUUGGGGAAAAUUACCAAUCGCCAGUGGCGACAAUAAUACAUUAAGCGCAAUAGGCAGCCUGCAAAACUCCAAAAACGGUAAUUUUCAUUCUGCCACUGGAGGAUUAGCCUUGGAUAAUGCCAAAGGCCACAGCGUCUCCGUAACUGGGACCCACAUUGCCGACUUCGGUAAGCAAGCUACGGCAGCUGGUCAGAUCAACCUGAUGAGGAAUAACGGCCACGAUCUGUCUGCCAACGCCUUCGCCACCAGGACUUUUCCCAACCACCCAGCUAUACCCACAUUUGACAAAGUCGGUGGCGGAGUUGAUUAUAAUUACAACCAAAAACUUGGAGCGUCCAUUGGUGUCCAGCAUGUGGACAUCGCGAAGAGAACCGAGUACUCCGCCAUGGCUAGUGCCAACGUGUUCAGAACACCGACUUCCUCGCUGGACGUCAAUGCUGGUGUCUCCAAAACCGUGUCUCCAUUCGGGAACACUUGGGAGAAGUCAGGAGCUUUUGUUUAUAAGAAGCAAUUUUAGCAUGAAGUUUAUCAACACAAUACUAAUUUUUUUGGUCCUGAUCAUGGCAUUCGCCACAAAUGCGCAAGUAUCUUUGCCACCUGGUUACAAAGAGAAAUACCCAUAUUUAAUCAAGUUUUCAAAGCAAGCUCAAACUAAAGGCUCAUCAAUGUUCAAGAUUUAAUAUGUUACUAUUACAAUAUGUAUCUAAAAAUAAGUAAAA